AUGCAUGGCGCGAGGAGCCUGGUUGUCCCUGGCGUGAUUCCGUCGGGGUGCUCGCCACCGAUCCUGACCAGGUUCGCCGACGCCUCGCCACCAUCAGCAUACGACUCCAGGACGGGUUGUCUGAAAGCAUACAACGAGCUGGGGUUGCACCACAACUCGCUGCUGCAGGCUGAGCUAGCCAAACUUCAGGCCAAGUACCGGAAUGCCAGGAUCAUCUACGCCGAUUUCUUUGGCCCAAUCAUGGACAUGGUGGAGUCGCCUCACAAGUUUGGUUUUGAACAAGACGUGCUUAUGGUGUGCUGUGGAGGGGCUGGACGAUACAGAUUAAAUUCAACGGUUCCAUGCGGCGAUGCUGCUGCAACAACGUGUCCGGAUCCAUCAGCUCGUUUGUACUGG
rnacentral:rRNA from 1 species